AACGAACGCUGGCGGCAGGCCUAACACAUGCAAGUCGAGCGAGGACUUCGGUCCUAGCGGCGGACGGGUGAGUAACGCGUGGGAACGUGCCCUUUGCUUCGGAAUAGCCCUGGGAAACUGUGAGUAAUACCGGAUGAGCCCGUUGGGGGAAAGAGUUAUCGGCGAAGGAUCGGCCCGCGUUGGAUUAGGUAGUUGGUGGGGUAAUGGCCUACCAAGCCGACGAUCCAUAGCUGGUUUGAGAGGAUGAUCAGCCACACUGGGACUGAGACACGGCCCAGACUCCUACGGGAGGCAGCAGUGGGGAAUCUUAGACAAUGGGGGAAACCCUGAUCUAGCCAUGCCGCGUGAGCGAUGAAGGCCUUAGGGUUGUAAAGCUCUUUCAGCUGGGAAGAUAAUGACGGUACCAGCAGAAGAAGCCCCGGCUAAAUCCGUG
rnacentral:rRNA from 1 species